GAUGAAGAACGUAGCGAAAUGCGAUACUUGGUGUGAAUUGCAGAAUCCCGCGAAUCAUCGAGUUUUUGAACGCAAGUUGCGCCCGAAGCCAUUCGGCCGAGGGCACGUCUGCCUGGGUGUCACGCAUCGUUGCCCCCCCAAACUCCGGUUCGGGCAGGGCGGAAGUUAGCCUCCCGUGCGUGCCUGCGCGCGCGGUUAGCCCAAAAGCGAGUCCUCGGCGACGAGCGCCACGACAAUCGGUGGUUUUUUUACCCUCGUUCCUCGUCGUGCGUGCCCCGUCGCCCGAACGCGCUCUUGCGACCCUUACGCGUCGCCUCGGCGGCGCUCCCAACGCGACCCCAGGUCAGGCGGGACUACCCGCUGAGUUUAAGCAUAUCAAUAAGCGGAGGA
rnacentral:misc_RNA from 1 species